rnacentral:rRNA from 1 species
AACGAACGCUGGCGGCAUGCCUAACACAUGCAAGUCGAACGAGACCUUCGGGUCUAGUGGCGCACGGGUGCGUAACGCGUGGGAACCUGCCCUUAGGUUCGGAAUAACACCCCGAAAGGGGUGCUAAUACCGGAUAAUGUCUCCGGACCAAAGAUUUAUCGCCUUUGGAUGGGCCCGCGUGGUAUUAGCUAGUUGGUAGGGUAAAAGCCUACCAAGGCUACGAUCCAUAGCUGGUCUGAGAGGAUGAUCAGCCACACUGGGACUGAGACCCGGCCCCGACUCCUACGGGAGGGAGCAGUGGGGAAUAUUGGACACUGGGCGAAAGACUGAUGCAGCAAUGCCGCGUGAGUGAUGAAGGCCUUAGGGUUGUAAAGCUCUUUUACCCGGGAUGAUAAUGACAGUACCGGGAGAAUAAGCUCCGGCUAACUCCGUG